rnacentral:lncRNA from 13 species
CUCAUCUUGAAUUGUAAUCCUCAGGUGUUGAGGGAGGAACCUGGUGGGAAGUGAUUGGAUCAUAGGGGUAGUUUCCCCCAUGCUGCUCUCAUGAUAGUGAGUUCUCACGAGAUCUGAUGGUUUUACAAGUGUUUUGCAAGUUCCUCAUUUGCUUGCUUCUCUCUCUUGCCACCUCAACAAGAUGUGUCUGCUUUCGCUUCUGCCAUGAUUACAUAAAUUUUCUGAGGCCGCCCCAGCCACACAGAACUAAAGAGCUCCUGUGAGAUUCUGCACCACAUGCAGAGCAGUGGUGUCCUGAGGAUGGACAGAGAAAUGGCCCUGACCACAAAUACAGAGAGCUCAGAAAUAAGGUCACACCCCUAUGAUCAUCUGACCUUUGUCAAAGUUGCCAAAAGUAACUUGCUAUUCAAGUGGAGAAAAGACUUGCUAUUCAAAAAACUGGAUAACUGGCCAACCAUAUGCAGACGAUUGAAAUUGGACCUUUUCCUUACACCAUAUACAAAAAUCAACUCAAGAUGGAUAAAAGACUUAAAUUUAAA